rnacentral:rRNA from 1 species
AUUGAACGCUGGCGGCAGGCCUAACACAUGCAAGUCGAGCGAGCGGCGGACGGGUGCGUAAUGUAUGGGGACUGCCCGAUAGAGGGGGAUAACUACUGGAAACGGUAGCUAAUACCGCAUACUAUCGGAUAACCCAUAUGGGAUUAGCUAGUUGGUGAGGUAAUGGCUCACCAAGGCGACGCUCCCUAGCUGGUCUGAGAGGAUGAUCAGCCAAAGUGGGCAUGAUACAAGGCCCAGACUCCUACGGAGGCAGCAGUGGGGAAGAUUGCACAAUGGGCGCAAGCCUGAUGCAGCCAUGCCGCGGGUAUGAAGAAGGCCCUAGGGUUGUAAAGUACUUUCAGUCGGGAGGCGUUACCGACAGAAGAAGCACCGGCUAACUCCGUGCCAGCAGCCGCGGUAAUUC